UGAGGAAUAUUGGUCAAUGGGCGCGAGCCUGAACCAGCCAAGUAGCGUGAAGGAUGAAGGUCCUAUGGAUUGUAAACUUCUUUUAUAGCAGAAUAAAGUGACCCACGUGUGGGUUUUUGUAUGUAUGCUAUGAAUAAGGAUCGGCUAACUCCGUGCCAGCAGCCGCGGUAAUACGGAGGAUCCGAGCGUUAUCCGGAUGUACUGGGUUUAAAGGGUGCGUAGGCGGAAAGAUAAGUCAGCCUGUGAAAGUUUGCGGCUCAACCGUAAAAUUGCAGUUGAUACUGUUUUUCUUGAGUGUACAUAAGGUAGGCGGAAUUCGUGGUGUAGCGGUGAAAUGCUUAGAUAUCACGAAGAACUCCGAUUGCGAAGGCAGCUUACCGGGGUACAACUGACGCUGAUGCACGAAAGUGUGGGUAUCAAACA
rnacentral:rRNA from 1 species